UACGUAGGGUGCAAGCGUUGUCCGGAAUUAUUGGGCGUAAAGAGCUCGUAGGCGGUUCGUCGCGUCGGCUGUGAAAACCCGAGGCUCAACCUCGGGCCUGCAGUCGAUACGGGCGGACUGGAGUUCGGCAGGGGAGACUGGAAUUCCUGGUGUAGCGGUGAAAUGCGCAGAUAUCAGGAGGAACACCGGUGGCGAAGGCGGGUCUCUGGGCCGAUACUGACGCUGAGAAGCGAAAGCGUGGGUAGCGAACAGG
rnacentral:rRNA from 1 species